AGCGCAGCAGGCCAUGUGUAGGAAACUAAAAGCAGACGUCCAGAAGGCCCUCCUCCUCACUUUGUGGUUUCAACAAAUGGGCAGUGCUCAGGUCCAGCUCUAAAGAUCUACCACCUUGAACCUAACACAUGGGGUUUCCCUCCCACUACUCCACCUGCAUCAACACAAUCAAACCAUGUCCUUUUUGGACAACGCAAGUCACUCUGAAUCAAUGUACCAGUUGGCUUAUCAGGGAGAGGUCGUCGAGACUCGAGUACAUCGGAGUGAGGAGUCCUCCAAAUCUCGAGCCUCUCCUCUUGAUUAUUAGCAGUUGGCGAAAAUUUAUCAGCCGAUCAGAACAGGGAGCACUCUGCUUGGAAAUUCUCGUGGAAUGGGUCUGGCUGGUGGUCUUGUCAGGAGAGUCUUCUCCAGAACUCGAUCUCGUUCGGGCUUUUCAAAAUGUCAUGUAAAAACCCCUUCAUAUCUCGGAUACACUUUUGCCGCUUUGCUAUGGCAUCCUGUUUGUCUUAUGAUUGUUUGAUGCUUGUGGUUAAUAUGUUUCUUUGACGUGAGGGACUGCUCUAUUAUCUGGGACCAAUUCGCUACCGCUGGAGAAUUAAACUGUGGUUCAUGAGAGCAAUGCAUCAUGGAAACUGCUGAUUGAUGCAGCACCAAGCAUGAUAAGAUGGUGCAGAAACCAUGCAAUAAACCGGCUAUCGAUUCGUUAGUUCUGGCUCAUGAAUCGCAGCUAUAUUUGAUCAACUCUGGGUCUCGACAGGAGAGGCGCUUCCCGGUAGAUAGGAGCAGAUGGAGUUCGAUCGGACUCUACCUUUGCGGAGAAGAAUUCAGUUGGGUUCUGGCAGAGUGGGACAUAGCCUCUUGCAGAGAGAGACACUGAAGCGACGAUGAUGCAGCCCGAAGCUGAACCUUCAGGAGACGGUGCUGCAACCCAUGGAGAAAUCAAAGUAGAAGAGAAUGAAGAGAUAUGUACCAAACGGAUCGAGAGCCUACUGCCCACACAGUCUCUUCUCGUCGAGAGGAAGCAGCAAUCGUUAUCCGAUCAGCUUUCAGAUGAUUUCUGGUUAUUUCUACAUCCAAUUACUUCCCAUGGAUGAGAGUCAUGAUGACGUUCUGCUAAUCGGCAUCUUUCACGAAUUAUCCCAUCACCCUAAAUGAAUGUGGACUUGCUUUGAAGAAACUCGUAUUCUUAUAAAGACACAUCCUCCUCGCGAUCGAUCGUACAUAUAGUUUAUGAAAGUGAUGUCACCACAGAAAGAAAGGAAAACGAAAACUGCCCUUCAUUAAUUCUGCAACACGAAUGCUGCUCUAACCUGGGAUGUAGAACACUGGAUUUCACAGGAAGACGUUGCUUCUAACCUCUCUCCUUUGAGAUUAUGCUGUUUGAGUUCAGAUUCACUUGCAAGAAUGUUUCUUGCAUUUUUAUCUAUCUUAGAAAUGAUGUCAGCUUCAUAAGCUGUGUCUCCCUUGCAGGAAGAGUGGGACGACAGCACUCUUAGCUGGAGCAUCUCAAACCUGAGAAUCCGGAACAAAAUGGAAGCGACGACCAGACGCCAAAGGGCGCUUGCAUACGCUCUGUCACAGCAGCUGAGAGUGAUGGAUGUGAACCCAGCUGAGAACUCGCGUGACGAGAAAAUGAUGGGCGCAAACGGACCCCACUGACCUGGGCGCGGGGUGGAGCUGGCUAGAGAGAUGGACGGCGACACGGAAGCAAGAGCAGAUAUCGGUCCAUGAUGAUCGUCGUAUUAUGGAGCCGUUCGAUCAGAUUUCCACCACCAACACGGUCGACAAGAGAUUUGACUUGGCAGUCGGGGAAAAGGAAAUCUGUGGCUCUAAUGAUGUAUGGGUGAACGUCUAUGCCUCUUCCGUGCCUUGUCAGACUCCCAGAAUCGGUUGUCCAUCAGAUGGUACAAGGAAGUUGAAGACGAUGAGAAGGAAAACGAUGCCAGAUUACCACUGCAAUUCCCAGCCUGGCAAGGUAAGCAUUGGUUUCUUUCUGAAGCGGCAGCAAGGUCUUUCAUCAGCGACACGGAUGCACGCCAAGGAAAGCGAAAGCGAAAGCGAAAGCGAUGAUGCUAGCUAGGCAUGCAUCAUCGAUAUGUUUUUCUAAAAUAUGGAACCUGAAUCUAUGCAUUCAUGAAACUGCCGAACUGACUGACUCACAUGAUUAAUCUUCUGCUGCCGUAGUUUUGCAAGUAGACACUGAUCGUCUUCCAAUAGUGUGCGUCUGUCAACGGUAUCCAUCCACACACGUUUAUAUCAUUGUGAAAAUCCAUCGCUGUUUGGUCCUCCUAGAUAAGCAAGAGGGAGCACGAGAGAGCAGCAAGAGAAGAGAAAAGGUGGAAGCAGGAACGGAUCAUCGAGAGCAUGUAUGAGAUGGAAGGAACAGAUAUGUGAUCAAUCCAUCGGACCACUGAUAAAUGCAUCGUGAAUAGGUUUCUUGCUGGAUAAGCAGCUCCAUUGCUAGAUCCAUGGCAUGCAAGUUUUUUGAAGUUUCACCGAAGAAGCUCCAUGAUCAGACUUUUUAUUAAUUACUUUUUUGUCUCUCUCGCUUGUAAGAGAAGGAAAUAAAUAGUUGAGAAAGAAUCAAACGCAUGCAUGUCAUGCAGGUCGAUGUAUCCUCCUUUUGUCAGAAGGAAAUAAUUAGUCCCAACGGCUGUUCCGAGUUCGAAGGCCAGAUGCAUCCUCCUUUUGUCAAAGAAAAAGAAUAUGCCUGAUCAAAAGAACAACGUGCUCCAUUAGAAUCACAAGACCAACAACGACUUGAUGAAACCCAAGCAAAGGUGGAUUAACAGAGACCACCGUGAAACGCGGUCGAUCGAGUGAAGAGCUAGAAAUUGUCGUUAAAAGAGCAGAGAUCAAACAUUGGAGCUUAAAUUAGACGUACGUGU